AAGUCGUAACAAGGUAACCGUAGGUGAACCUGCGGUUGGAUCAUUAAAAAGAUUCGGGGCUAGAGAGCGCAAGGUCUCUUUCGAGACCAUUGUGACUGGUCAUAGUUCUCCGUUACUCCAUGGACAGUGUGGUGUGCUUUAAGCGCAUUGGCAGUGUCCAUGGAAUAACGGUGGUAGUCAGAUUAUCCAAUGUUUCGAGGCAGUUACGCUGCCUUAAAACAUUGUCAAGACCGCCUUUCUAUUACUUCGUCACUUGCUGCUCUCACACCGAGAAACCUUAUGUGAACCGAAAACCGUCCCUGGCGGGGGGGCAGCAUUUUGCUGCCUGUCAGUCUAUGCGUUUGCAUAUUCCGUGGACAUCCCGUCAACAGGUCCGACACCUUUUAAUUUUCUUUUAUAUUUUUCUGACAAACACAUGUAUAAAUAUACAAAACAACUUUUGGCAACGGAUCUCUUGGCUCUC
rnacentral:misc_RNA from 1 species